UACGUAGGGGGCAAGCGUUGUCCGGAAUCAUUGGGCGUAAAGAGCGUGUAGGCGGCCCGAUAAGUCCGCCGUGAAAGUCCAGGGCUCAACCCUGGAAUGCCGGUGGAAACUGUCGGGCUGGAGUCCGGAAGAGGCGAGUGGAAUUCCUGGUGUAGCGGUGAAAUGCGCAGAUAUCAGGAGGAACACCAAUGGCGAAGGCGGCUCUCUGGGCCGUGACUGACGCUGAGGAGCGAAAGCGUGGGGAGCAAACAGG
rnacentral:rRNA from 1 species